ensembl:misc_RNA Metazoa_SRP Metazoan signal recognition particle RNA
GCCGGGCGCGGUGGCGCGUGCCUGUAAUCCAAGCUACUGGGAGGCUGAGGCUGGCGGAUCGUUUGAGCUCAGGGGUUCUGGGCUGCAGUGGGCUAUGCCGAUCGGGUGUCCGCACUAAGUUCGGUAUCGAUAUGGUGCUCCUGAGGGAGCUCGGGACCACCAGGUCGCCUAAGGAGGGGUGAACCGGCCCAGGUCGGGAACGGAGCAGGUCAAAGCCCCCGUGCCGAUCAGUAGUGGGAUCGCGCCUGUGAAUAGACACUGCCGUGCAGCCUGAGUAAUACAGCGGGACUCAGUCUUUU